rnacentral:rRNA from 1 species
UAGGGAAUCUUCCGCAAUGGACGCAAGUCUGACGGAGCAACGCCGCGUGAGUGAAGAAGGAUUUCGGUUCGUAAAACUCUGUUGUUAGAGAAGAACAGCGCAUAGAGUAACUGUUAUGCGUGUGACGGUAUCUAACCAGAAAGCCACGGCUAACUACGUGCCAGCAGCCGCGGUAAUACGUAGGUGGCAAGCGUUGUCCGGAUUUAUUGGGCGUAAAGCGAGCGCAGGCGGUCAAUUAAGUCUGAUGUGAAAGCCCCCGGCUCAACCGAGGAGGGUCAUUGGAAACUGGUUGACUUGAGUGCAAAAGAGGAGAGUGGAAUUCCAUAUGUAGCGGUGAAAUGCGUAGAUAUAUGGAGGAACACCAGUGGCGAAGGCGACUCUCUGGUCUGUAACUGACGCUGAGGCUCGAAAGCGUGGGUAGCAAACAGG